AGGCACUGUACGUACUGGGGAAAAGUAUUACAUACUUGUCAUUCGUAGGCAACAGACUUAGGGUGCUUAUAAACUGGGAGGUGCAAUUUACUUUCUGUUACAUAUUCUCCAAUACAUUUUUCCUUAUAAAACAAUUUUAUCUUUCUGUAUACAGUAGGGUAGGUUGUUGGAAUUUUAUUUUUGUAAAAGAUCAUACAGUGUUUGUCUAUUUAUUAUUUAUUUAUUUAUUUAGAGGAGGAGAAAGAGUGUGUGAGCAUGGGGUGAGGGGACAGAGGGAAAGAGAGAACCUCAAAUAGGCUCCAUGUCCAGCACAGAGCCCCACAAGGUGUUCAAUCUCACCAUCCUGAGAUCAUGACCUGAGCUGAAAUCAAGAGUCCGACAGUUAACUAACUGAGCCACCCAAGCACCCCAAUGUUUGUCUAUUUAAAAUGUGUAUCAUCAGAAUCAGAAUCAUACCAAGAACAGUGGUAAUAUCUGGAUAGUUAGAAAGUACAGAAGACUAGAGAAAACUGACUUUUUAAAAAGGCUUUUACUUUUUUUUUUUUUUUUAAAGACAAUCAUGAAGGGCCUGAAACAGAGAUGGAUGGUGAAGCCGAAAAUAGAGCAGCAGGAGUUGAGAGCACAGCUGAGCUGGCAGAUAGCAGAGCUGUGCCAGGACAUAGCACUCAGUGCAAAGUGUGGUGCACUGUUGCUUUCAUUUCGAUGACGGUGAACCUGGUGGUACUGGCUGGCCUGGGGACCCUGGGCCUGAUGAGAAUCACACCAAUUUCAGAUUACUGGAAACUCAUCUUCAACAACAGAACAGCAAACGAUAUCGAACAAAGCAAAAUACAACAGUUGGAGGAAAAUGUAACACGAUACAUGAAUAUGUAUCAUAAUGCCUCACAGGAACACAUCAUUUUCAAAAAUAUGACAGAAAACACAUUAGAAAAGCUGAACAACUUUACCUCAGCAUACUGUGAAGACUUAAAGGAGAAUAAAAAUGAUGUCGGAUUUCACUCUUGUUCGGAGUCAUGGAUGUGGUAUGGAAAUGGAAACCAAUGUCAUGCCCAGAUGAAUACGGACAAUAAGACAACUUGCAACCAAACCCAGGUCUGUGUUAUGAUGUGGGGGUCAUCUACAGAAAGAUUUUGGUAUUGUUAAGAUACAGGUAAGGAGAAUUUGGGUGACCUUAGUCCUCGGCUAUUUCUAGUAAAUAGCCUUCAUGUCCUUUAUCUUUGCUCCCUCCCUUUGAGCAGAAUUAUUGGGGAAUUCUGCUAUCCCAGUUUCAAAUGGCAAGUAUAUACAAUCAUUCAAGUGAUGGGUCCGUGAGACCCAUACAACAGGUAAGCUAUG
rnacentral:lncRNA from 1 species